AUGUUUAUCAAACGUCGGAUCUGUAGAUAUUUUCUUCCAUUAUGUACGUGGUUCUUUCACUUUGCUGACAGGUUAGAAGCCCCCUUCUCCCACAUCCCUUCUGACUCCAUGUUUGGGUCCCUUCCAGGAACACUCCCUGGUGCAAGCGUCUUUCCCUCUCCUGGGUUUCCCCUCUGGGGUCCCCUUCCUCACUGUCUCAUGGAAGCGCCUUUCCCUCUCCUGGAUUUCCCCUCUGGGGUCCCCUACCACACUCUCCUGUGGAAGCCUGUCUUCCCUCCUAAACCCCAUCUCUAUUCCCUUCCACUCAGCGUGGAAGCUCUUUCCUCUCCUGGGUUCCAUCUUUCUGGAUUCUCUCACUCAGUGUGGGAGGAGCUUCCUGCCCUGGUUUCCCCCUCUGGGAACCUGCUCACUCAGCGUGAGAGUUUGCUUUUCUCUCUCCAUUUUCUCUCUUUAAAUAAAUCACUUUCUACAAACACUUUUGAGUCGUAUUUCCUGCGCACUGCGCCAUGGUCCCCUCUCUCAUUCUUGAGAGGGCGGGAGACCACGAACCUGGAGAAACGUCCUCUCAGGGGAGCUGAGGGCGCCCUGAACACCUGAAUCCCAAUAUUACAUGCUUACUUGUAACAGUUUAAUAGAUUUCACUCUUCGCCUUCCGCCAUGAGGAAAAGCUCGCUGAGGGCCUCCCGAGAAGCCGAGCAGAGGCGGCUGCCCUGCCUGUGGAGCUGCGGAACCAUGAGCCAGCCAAACCUCUAUCCUCUAUAAAUUACCCAGCCUCGAGCAUUUCUUUAGAGCAAGGAAAGAACGAUCUAAUACACCCAGAAAGCUGAGAAUGGCGUGAGUGAAGCAUAACGACCAUGGAUGAAUUUCAAAAUCUAAAAACAUAAAAUUAAUAUUAUAGGGGGAGUCAAUGCAGGAACAUGAGGGUGCUUGGGCAGAGGCUGUCACCCACUGGUCACAUGUGGUCAGCAGAGAGCAGGAGAACAGCACCCUGGGGCUCUGUGGGAAGCACCCACAGCCUGCAGCUGAGGUUUUAAUUAUAGGGGCCAAAACAAAUGGGGAAAAAGACAAAUUUAGCAUGCAAAGAAAACAGAUGCUCAUCUGAGUCAGGAGGAAGUCACCACCAAUAAGGAAAAAAAUAGAGCUCUGGAAAAGUAGUGAAAACAGUCACAAGGAAGGGCCCCUGUGUCUUGCCUGACUCUGGACAGGUAUAUAGAGAGCCCAGGCUCAGGGGACUCCACACCUGCACCUCCCUGUCUUCUCCUCCUCUACCUACUCC
rnacentral:lncRNA from 1 species